CGGCGUGCUUAACACAUGCAAGUCGAACGGAAAGGCCCUGCUUUUGUGGGGUGCUCGAGUGGCGAACGGGUGAGUAACACGCGAGUAACCUGCCCUUGACUUUGGGAUAACUUCAGGAAACUGGGGCUAAUACCGGAUAGGAGCUCCUGCUGCAUGGUGGGGGUUGGAAAGUUUCGGCGGUUGGGGAUGGACUCGCGGCUUAUCAGCUUGUUGGUGGGGUAGUGGCUUACCAAGGCUUUGACGGGUAGCCGGCCUGAGAGGGUGACCGGCCACAUUGGGACUGAGAUACGGCCUAGACUCCUACGGGAGGCAGCAGUGGGGAAUAUUGCACAAUGGGCGGAAGCCUGAUGCAGCAACGCCGCGUGCGGGAUGACGGCCUUCGGGUUGUAAACCGCUUUCGCCUGUGACGAAGCGUGAGUGACGGUAAUGGGUAAAGAAGCACCGGCUAACUACGUGCCAGCAGCCGCGGUGAUACGUAGGGUGCGAGCGUUGUCCGGAUUUAUUGGGCGUAAAGGGCUCGUAGGUGGUUGAUCGCGUCGGAAGUGUAAUCUUGGGGCUUAACCCUGAGCGUGCUUUCGAUACGGGUUGACUUGAGGAAGGUAGGGGAGAAUGGAAUUCCUGGUGGAGCGGUGGAAUGCGCAGAUAUCAGGAGGAACACCAGUGGCGAAGGCGGUUCUCUGGGCCUUUCCUGACGCUGAGGAGCGAAAGCGUGGGGAGCGAACAGGCUUAGAUACCCUGGUAGUCCACGCUGUAAACGGUGGGUACUAGGUGUGGGGUCCAUUCCACGGGUUCCGUGCCGUAGCUAACGCUUUAAGUACCCCGCCUGGGGAGUACGGCCGCAAGGCUAAAACUCAAAGGAAUUGACGGGGCCCCGCACAAGCGGCGGAGCAUGCGGAUUAAUUCGAUGCAACGCGUAGAACCUUACCUGGGUUUGACAUGGAUCGGGAGUGCUCAGAGAUGGGUGUGCCUCUUUUGGGGUCGGUUCACAGGUGGUGCAUGGCUGUCGUCAGCUCGUGUCGUGAGAUGUUGGGUUAAGUCCCGCAACGAGCGCAACCCUUGUUCACUGUUGCCAGCACGUUAUGGUGGGGACUCAGUGGAGACCGCCGGGGUCAACUCGGAGGAAGGUGGGGAUGACGUCAAGUCAUCAUGCCCCUUAUGUCCAGGGCUUCACGCAUGCUACAAUGGCUGGUACAGAGAGUGGCGAGCCUGUGAGGGUGAGCGAAUCUCGGAAAGCCGGUCUCAGUUCGGAUUGGGGUCUGCAACUCGACCUCAUGAAGUCGGAGUCGCUAGUAAUCGCAGAUCAGCAACGCUGCGGUGAAUACGUUCCCGGGGCUUGUACACACCGCCCGUCAAGUCAUGAAAGUUGGUAACACCCGAAGCCGGUGGCCUAACCGUUGUGGGGGAGCCGUCGAAGGUGGGACUGGUGAUUAGG
rnacentral:rRNA from 1 species